rnacentral:rRNA from 1 species
ACUCAAAUGAAUAGACGGGGGCCCGCACAAGAGGUGGAGUAUGUGGUUUAAUUCGAAGCAACGCGCAGAACCUUACCUGGGUUUAACAUCCCUUGACGACUGCAGAGAUGUAGUUUUCCCUUCGGGGACAAGGUGAUAGGUGCUGCAUGGCUGUCGUCAGCUCGUGUCGUAAGAUGUUAGGUUAAGUCCUGCAACGAGCGCAACCCCUAUCCUUAGUUACCACCAUUCAGUUGGGGACUCUAGGGAGACUGCCGGUGUUAAACCGGAGGAAGGCGGGGAUGACGUCAAGUCCUCAUGGCCCUUAUAUCCAGGGCUACACACGUACUACAAUGGCAAAGACAAAGCGAUGCAAGACCGCGAGGUGGAGCCAAUCGCAAAAACAUUGUCUCAGUCCGGAUUGAAGUCUGCAACCCGACUUCAUGAAGUUGGAAUCUCUAGUAAUCGCAGAUCAGCACGCUGCGGUGAAUACGUUCCCGGGCCUUGUACACACCGCCCGU